rnacentral:rRNA from 2 species
CCCGCACAAGCGGUGGAGCAUGUGGUUUAAUUCGACGCAACGCGAAGAACCUUACCGGGACUUGACAUUAUCUUGACCGUCUAGGAAAUGAGAUCUUCUCCUUUCGGGGAAGACAGGAUAACAGGUGGUGCAUGGUUGUCGUCAGCUCGUGUCGUGAGAUGUUGGGUUAAGUCCCACAACGAGCGCAACCCUUAUGCUUAGUUGCUAACUUGUUUUACAAGUGCACUCUAAGCAGACUGCCGCAGAUAAUGCGGAGGAAGGUGGGGAUGACGUCAAAUCAUCAUGCCCCUUACGUCCCGGGCUACACACGUGCUACAAUGGCCUGUACAAAGGGUUGCGAAAGAGCGAUCUUAAGCCAAUCCCAAAAAGCAGGUCCCAGUUCGGAUUGGAGGCUGAAACUCGCCUCCAUGAAGUAGGAAUCGCUAGUAAUCGCGGAUCAGCAUGCCGCGGUGAAUACGUUCCCGGGCCUU